rnacentral:rRNA from 1 species
GACGAACGCUGGCGGCGCGCUUAACACAUGCAAGUCGAACGGAAAGGCCUGCUUUCCCUUGUGGAUUGCGGGUACUCGAGUGGCGAACGGGUGAGUAACACGUGAGUGAUCUGCCCCCAACUUGGGUAUAAGCCUGGGAAACUGGGUCUAAUUCCCGAUAGGACUGCAGGGUGGUGCCUGUGGUUGAAAACGAUUUUCUAGUGGUUGGGGAUGAGCUCGCGGCCUAUCAGCUUGUUGGUGGGGUAAUGGCCUACCAAGGCGGCGACGGGUAGCCGGCCUGAGAGGGUGGACGGCCACAUUGGGACUGAGAUACGGCCCAGACUCCUACGGGAGGCAGCAGUGGGGAAUAAUGCACAGUGGGCGGAGGCCUGAUGCAGCGACGCCGCGUGGGGGAUGACGGCCUUCGGGUUGUAAACUCCUUUCGACCGCGAGGAAGCCACCUGGUUGGAAGGGUGGUGACGGUAGUGGUAGAAGAAGCACCGGCUAACUACGUG